AAAGGCGAAAGCACUGAGAAACAAAAUGAAAUAAAAGCGAAGCAGGAAGAGAUUGAGGGUUUAGAGAAGCUUUAUCAAAAUUCCCAACGUGAAAAAGAUGCGUUAGAAGAGAAAUUGAACGAAGAAAAAGUUGCUCACACUGUUACAACUGGAAAACUUAAAGCAGCAGAGAAGAAGGCUGAGCAAAAAGAGAGGGAACUAAAAAAUGAUCUUCGUGUGAAAGAAAAUGAACUGGUUAAAUUCAGAACGGACUUUGAGCAGAAAAACAAUCUACUGGAUGAACUUAAAUCUGAUAUUCAGGAGAAAAAUACUCAACUAGGUGAAGUUAAAAGAGAAAAAGAAAGUUUACAAUCGUUCGUGGA